rnacentral:rRNA from 1 species
GGCUCAGGAUGAACGCUGGCGGCGUGCCUAACACAUGCAAGUCGAACGGAGAUAAGCGAGAAGCUUGCUUUUUGCAUAUCUUAGUGGCGGACGGGUGAGUAACGCGUGGGUAACCUACCCUGUACAGGGGGAUAGCAGCUGGAAACGGCUGAUAAAACCGCAUAAAACGGCAGUACCGCAUGGUACAACCGUCAAAUAUUUUAUAGGUACAGGAUGGGCCCGCGUCUGAUUAGCCAGUUGGUGGGGUAACGGCCUACCAAAGCAACGAUCAGUAGCCGGCCUGAGAGGGUGAACGGCCACAUUGGGACUGAGACACGGCCCAAACUCCUACGGGAGGCAGCAGUGGGGAAUAUUGGACAAUGGGGGGAACCCUGAUCCAGCGAACCGCCGCGUGAGUGAAGAAGUAUUUCGGUAUGUAAAGCUCUAUCAGCAGGGAAGAUGAUGACGGUACCUGACUAAGAAGCACCGGCUAAAUACGUGCCAGCCGCGGC